CCCGCGGCGCCCGGCCGUCUUCAGCAUCCAAUUUAGAUCUUUCCUGCUUGCGAGUAAAUAUUUUGCUCCCGCCUCCUGAGUAUAAGGAAGGCGGAUAAUCGGUUGCUUGGGCACGAAGAUUAGACCGAUUUUUACGAGUUGAUCGUUAACAAUUCUGGAAAUAAAAUUCUCAAAGAAAAUAAAGAAAAAUAAGGAAUAUUCAUACAGAAUAUGAAGUUGGGAACUGAUUCCUGAAAAGCCAAAGUGAAGGAUGAAGAGAUGGUUUUCCUGGGAGGUUUGAAAGGUCUUCUUCCCUGUGCUGUCAGAAAUCUGAUUCGAUCAGAUAAACUCAACGUUACCAAUACCUCCGGACUGGC